rnacentral:rRNA from 1 species
UAGCAUAUCAAUAAGCGGAGGAAAAGAAACUAACAAGGAUUCCCCUAGUAACGGCGAGUGAAGCGGGAAGAGUACAAAUUUUAAAUCUACCUGGCUUCCAGGUUGAGUUGUAAUUUGAGGAUACGUUUUUGAUAUUCCUGGUUGGACUAAAUCCUUUGGGAUAAGGUAUCAUAGAGGGUGAGAAUCCCGUGUAUACCAACCGUAGGGAUGUUAUUUAAUACGUUUCUAAGAGUCGAGUUGUUUGGGAAUGCAGCUCUAAAUGGGUGGUAAAUUUCACCUAAUGCUAAAUAUAAGCGAGAGACCGAUAGCGAACAAGUACAGUGAUGGAAAGAUGAAAAGAACUUUGAAAAGAGAGUUAAAUAGUACGUGAAAUUGUUGAAAGGGAAACGAUUGAAGUCAGUCAUGCCAGUGGGAAUCAACUUAGAGGAAACUCUAGGUGCACUUCUUCGCUUGGCAGGUUAGUGUCGAUUUUGGAUGUCAUAAAAUGACUGGGGGAAGAUAGCUCCUUUGGGAGUGUUAUAGCCCUUGGUAGAUGUGAUGUCUGGGAUCGAGGAUUGCAACGGAUACUCUUUAGGGCUAGUCACCUGAUCUCUAAUUGGUGUUAGAUUACGGACAGCAUGCUGACCGUGAUUUAAUUAUUGGUUUAAAAGGUUAGAGUGCACAUAAAUUUCGUUAAGGACACUGAUGUAAUGGCUUUAAAUGACCCGUCUUGAAACACGGACC